rnacentral:rRNA from 1 species
AGCAGCCGCGGUAAUUCCAGCUCCAAUAGCAUAUAUUAAAGUUGUUGUAGUUAAAAAGCUCAUAGUUGAAUUUCGAGGUUCUACCGUCGGUCGGGCUACCAAGUCUGUACUGGUGCAUAAAAUUUCUACCUUUUGGGGAACCGUCAUGUUAUUAAUUUAGCAUAGUGGGAAACUAGAACCUUUACCUUGAAAAAUUAGAGUGUUCAAAGCAGGCUUAUGUCUAAAUACAUUAGCAUGGAAUAAUAGAAUAGGACAGUGGUCCUGUUUUGUGGUUUCUGAAUUACCAUAAUGAUUAAUAGGGAUAGUUGGGGGCAUUAGUAUUCUAUUGUCAGAGGUGAAAUUCUUGGAUUUAUUGAAGACUAACUUCUGUAAAAGCAUUUGCCAAGGAUGUUUUC